CAAGAGAUCUGCCUGCCUCAGCCUCUGGAGUCGCUGGAGUUACAGGCGUGAAGACGCUGUUUGAAAGGGGUCACUCUGCUGUGUGGCGAUGAGACUGUGAGGAGCAGGCUGGGAAAGGGGAGAGCUGUUUCCAGGUAAGAGGCAGUGGCUGCUGGAGCAGGUGAGAAGCCAGUUAGAGUCUUUUCAGAGACAUAACAGUGUUUGUUGAUGAAAGAGAGGUAAAGUGACGGGAAGGAGUCAGGGAGGACUCUGAGGUUUUUGCCCUAAAGCUGGAAAUGGGACUUUCAUUUCCUGAUGUAGGAACAGGUGAGAUCCCACAGGGAAAGCCUGCAGCACCGGAGACAUGGAAGUGCCGGCCGUACAGAUUCAGAAGAGGAGAAGCCUUGGAAGAGGAGGCCCCUGGGGUGCCGAGGGGAAAGUGCCCUCCAUGGGAGCAGGCCCCUGUGUCAGUGCCGGGGCCUGCCAUGCUUGCUGCUGUGCUCACCAGCCCUGCCUGGAUCUUUGGCCUACGUGGCUCAGCUCAAGCCCACCAGGAGGGUGUCCCUACCCCACCGCCACCAGUGUCGUCCCUGUGUUAGUUCUGGCCUGGGCUGCAGCAAGGAAGGUGGGGCAGGAGGGAGUCAGGGACUGGAGUUCCAAGAGAUUUCAUGGGAACCAUGCUGGUGGGGGUGGGACCCGGCAACCCCAGGAGCAGCCAGCACGGAAAGCUGCCAUGGGCAAGUCUCCAUUCCGUGGAAGACAGCAGUCCCCACUCAAGGUGUGCGUGGCUGCUGCCCCAGAGCUGCUGCCAGGUACGUGCCCCAGGUCCCAAGAUGAGCACCUAAGAAGGGAAGGCCUGCUCCACGGGCAAGAAAGGGAUUUUCUCCUCGUACUCCCGAGAGUGACCCAGGCCCACCCACAGGGAGGGAGGUGGACGCCUCCCUCAGGUCUCUCAGGUCUCUCUGUCCGCGAGUUCUCCACUGCAGCUUGCUCUGCAGCCACCCCCCCCAUCCAUGGCUACACACCCCACAUUCUGGUCUCUUCCCUGGACCAGACUACAGAGCAGGGCCACUGUCUCCACUGCCUCCAGCUGGCCCCUGCUGACAAGCCCCUGUUGUAUCAGGUUGGGAGCCUGGGGAAGGCAUGGGGGCCCUUCUCCAGCAGGUCCUGAUACCUCCUCGACACUUUCAGGAAAAGCAAGAGAUAAACCAUCGCAUCCUGAGCUCUGCAGGGAACCAGAGGCGGACACCAUUCAUUCUGCAAACCUGCAGGGUUGACCCUUCCAGGACCUCCUCACCUCCUCCAGGGCUGCAGCCUCUAAGGCAGGUCCUGGUUCCGCCUCCUUGACUUGGUCUUUCUGGUGCCAGCUGAGCCCUGGAAGGGCCACAGCCUCCCCUCCAGCCCCUCUGCCACGGGGUGGCUGCUGUCUCCUUUGGAUCUUUUUGCGGUCUGGGCUUGCUGUUCCUCUCAACAGUAGUCAGGAAGCCCUUACCCCAAAAAGUAUCUGCGGGAGGCCUCGUCCACAGGGGAGGUCACCCCAAGGGUUCCAGGUGAGUCACAGCAAACCCAAGGACAGUGAGUGGUACUGGGGGUCUCCUGACUCUCCCUUAGACUUGCUGGGUGACCUUAAGUCCAGCACUGAGCCUCUCCGGGCCUCAGUUAUGCCACUCUUUUCAUCAUUUACCAGUGGGCAGUGUCAAAUGAGAGACUCCACAGGUACGAAAAAUAAAGGAGUGGCUCAGUUACAAGCCAGGCAAAACCGCUUUGGUGGAUGAAGGCCACACGGCUCUCCCAGUGUUCUGUCCUCUGUAUACAGAUGAUCUCCUUCUAAGAUCCUUUUGGGAAUGACCCCUCCCACACCAUAGACACUUCUGAGUGGGUUGUCACUAAGAGGCCCUGUCGAGUCUGACCCGCAGACUUAACUGAGCGACAGAUGAAAAACAUACACUGACACAGGCUUGUCUGUCAGCACGGCCAGGGCUCCGCUACCACAGCCAACAGCUGCCUCCGUCAGCCGGUGAUACUCAGUUUUAUUUAUUUAGUACAGAUUAAAUAAUAAAAGUCUUAAGUAAACACCAUUAGAGGGUUAUUAACAUUUCUGACCCCCAGUAGAGAGCAGUUUCAUCCAUGAAUGUUCAAAGGUUGGUCUUAGGACUACAUGAGUAAAUAAUCUAUUGAGAUAAAUGCCUUUACAUUCCUUUGUUAUUUGUUCUAAGCUAUUAGUUCAAGGUAAAAGGAUUAGGCUGCCUUCAACCACAACUCCCUCUCAAGGCUUUUGCAAAACCUUCCAGCCUUCUAAGAAGGUUUACGUCUAUUUUACAAUUUUUCCUACCACCUUGACGGAUCUCCUACGAGGUCCUGCCCUCUUCUGCCCACUGGGUGGAUACAAGAAUUGAAACCUGUGAAGGAUAUGAGAUUGGGAACAAAAUAAUUGAUGCUGAUUGA